ACUACGGGUGGCAGCAGUCGAGAAUCAUUCACAAUGGGGGAAACCCUGAUGGGGCGACGCCGCGUGGGGGAAUGAAGGUCUUCGGAUUGUAAACCCCUGUCAUGUGGGAGCAAAUUAAAAAGAUAGUACCACAAGAGGAAGAGACGGCUAACUCUGGGCCAGCAGCCGCGGUAAUACAGAGGUCUCAAGCGUUGUUCGGAAUCACUGGGCGUAAAGCGUGCGGAGGCGGUUUCGUAAGUCGUGUGUGAACGGCGCGGGCUCAACCCGCGGACGGCACAUGAUACUGCGAGACUAGAGUAAUGGAGGGGGUACCGGAUUUCUCGGUGUAGCAGU
rnacentral:rRNA from 1 species